GAGAGAGAGAGAAAGAGAGAGAUCUACGGGACUUACUAUUCAGGAUUCAUGACGGUGAGGUCGACAGGGAUCAGACCGGUCCAGGCGGGAAGUGAAUUGGAAAUUGCAGGUAGAAGCGACGAGGGUGGUAGAGAGAGAGAGAGGACAGAAAGGAGACAGCAAAGACGGGAUUUUCACAAAGAAACAGAAGGAGGAGAGAAAUUGAAUGUAAGGAAGUGGUCAUGAAACCGAUAACUUCGGAACGAUGUAAUGUUUGUAAAUCUGGCCCGUCCAAAUCCAGCCUUUAAA
rnacentral:misc_RNA from 1 species